UGGGGAAUUUUGGACAAUGGGGGAAACCCUGAUCCAGCCAUCCCGCGUGUGCGAUGAAGGCCUUCGGGUUGUAAAGCACUUUUGGCAGGAAAGAAACGUCAUGGGUUAAUACCCCGUGAAACUGACGGUACCUGCAGAAUAAGCACCGGCUAACUACGUGCCAGCAGCCGCGGUAAUACGUAGGGUGCAAGCGUUAAUCGGAAUUACUGGGCGUAAAGCGUGCGCAGGCGGUUCGGAAAGAAAGAUGUGAAAUCCCAGAGCUCAACUUUGGAACUGCAUUUUUAACUACCGGGCUAGAGUGUGGCAGAGGGAGGGGGAAUUCCGCGUGUAGCAGUGAAAUGCGUAGAUAUGCGGAGGAACACCGGUGGCGAAGGCAGCCUCCUGGGAUAACACUGACGCUCAUGCACGAAAGCGUGGGGAGCAAACAGG
rnacentral:rRNA from 1 species